rnacentral:lncRNA from 1 species
CAUUUCAAGAAUGUAUUUUCCAAAUCAUAUUUUCCAAAAGCCUUUUAGAAGCAGUUAAAGCAAAUAUUAUUACCUAAAUUGUUCAUUAUCUAGAUGUUGGGGAAGAUCACUAAUUCCAAGGAUCUGAAUCGUUUCGAAGUUUUCAACCAGUAAAAACCAGUAAUUUGUCUGGAAGUACAUGAUGCAUUAGCUUUACUCUCAGAGGAUCUGAAACUUUUUUUUUUUGGCCGCACCUGCAGCAUAUGGAAAUUCCCAGGCCAGGGAUCGAAUCUGGUCCACAGCUGUGACCUGCCCCAUAGCUGCGGCAAUAUGGUAUCCUUAACCCACUGCACGGAGCUGCACCUCCACAGAGAUGAUGCAGGUUUUUUAGCUCACUGCACCACAGCAGCAACUCUGGAGUCUGAAACUCUUCAGCAUGAAUUCCAUCAAAAUGUUUCACUUCCGGUUAUACUCCAAUAAGCUCUUUGGUCCAAAGGCUGCUGCCUCUUCUGUUCCUGAGCUAAGACAUGCGGGCUGCCCAGGGCAGAGAUGUGUUCUGGGUGACCCCGUCUAUAGACCUCCCCACGAUCACAAGUGAAGUCCCCCCUCCUCAGAAUCUUUGGCAAAGACGAUGCUCUAAGAUGGGAUUCAGGAGGGUAUAAUCCACUAUAACUGGCCAAAGGCAAAUGCUUAUGUAAAUGAGGGUCUUAGUAGAUGAAAUUGAAAUAAAUGGACCUCAUCCUAUGCCAAAGGGCCUGGUCUCCCCAUUAAAAGACAAAUAACUGUGGACGUUAUAGCUCUCUUCAAGGAUUUCCUGUCGUGUUUGCCUCAACACUCUGCCGAAGUUAUCUAGAAGAGAUUAGGUCUCUGAGAAUUUUUUCCUUCUUCUUGUCUUUGAUUUGGAAGAUCCACCGGGAUGGAAAGUAACAUUUCUCCAAUAGUUAACUUUCCAAACAAACAAAUGAACAAAAAUAAACAAAAGAGCACCUCAAGGGGUCACAAACAUCUGAAGUAGCAUCCAUCACCCCUGUUGAACCCUGUAAGGGCGCAUCAGAUAAGCAUUUCCAGCCAGUCUUAGAUGAUCGCUGCCCUGAUGGCCACCAGGCAGCGGAAGAUCAAGUGUGCUCCCUGCGCCCCACCCGCUGCGUUUCCUUUCUAGGUCUCCUCUUCCUCAUUGGAAACUAUCUUUAUCCCCACAGUUACUGGAUUUGAAGUCAGAUCUUAGACAAGUCCCUAGUCUACUCAUAGCUAAGUGUGGUCUCUUGAAGUUCUAGAAGGUCUGUAGGUUUGUUUCUCUAUCUGUGAACAGGUUGAGGUCCUGUCCAAGAGAGGGGAUGUUCAUGGCAAGUGUGGUGGGAGAUGACACGCAGACAUUGACUCAAGCUAGGCUUGCAGCCAUCCUCUAUCCGUCUCUGCACCUUGGCCCACACACUGAAUCGGCCUCUUUUUUCAGCCAUUCUCACUCUCUCUGGACCAGACCUCCAUCAGCUCCCUCUAGGAAUAUAGUGAUUGUUGGUCCUAACUGGCCUAUUUAUCUCCAGUCCAUCAUUCCCAUUCCUGGUAGUAGGUGCAGGGGAGGGAAAAAUUAUUUUUUCUCCACCCACUUCAGGUUGAUUGAAUGGAGUUAUGCAAAUUAGACUGACAACUAGAGGGAGGCUGGGAGCAUUUCUCAUGUCUGCUUUUUAGGGCCACACCUGCAGCAUAUGGAGGUUUCUAGGCUAAGAGUUGAAUCAGAGCUGGAUCUGCUGGCCUCCGCUACAGCAGUGCCAGAUCUGAGCCUUGGCUGCAACCUACAUUGACACUCACAGCAAUACCAGAUCCUUAACCCACUGAGGGGGGCUGAGGCCGGGGGUCGAACCCACAUCCUCAUGGCAACGAUCCAGGCUCUUAAUCGGCUGAGUCACAAUGGGAACGCCUUCAUUGGCUUUCUCUUCAAAAUCAUCCAUAUGCCAAAGUGGCAUUUUGGGGGGUGACAUUCUGUUAUCCUUCACAUACGAAUGUGUACAUACUUACACAUAUUUACAUGCUGUAUUUUACAUGGAUAUUUACAUGCUGUAUCCCCCAGCUCAAAACCUUAAGUAACUAUUCUUUGCAUAUAGAAAAAAUAUCUCCUUAGCCUGGCCUUCAACGGCCCCAUCAUCUAGCUUCAACUGACCUUUGAAAACAUAUUGUGCAUUAUAUCCCCUCCAACCACACUGAGCUUCUGAUCCUUUUCCAAGCACCCUAUGCAUUUGCAGAGUCUUGUAUCUUUGUUUAAAUACUUCUGUUACGGUGGAACCAUUCUCUUCCCAAUCCGAAAAUUGUGUGUUCUGCCAAACACACGUCAAAAGAUACUUAGAGUCAUCCCAGAAACUUGCCCUCACAAUGAGUCACCCACCGCCUGCCUCCCCUUGGCAUCUCCUGUUCCUCUCUCACGGCCUCAGACUUACGCUGCCCUACGGAGCGACCACAGGAGAUCUUACACUGAAGACACACGUUGCCUCAUUUACCUUUGUUUCCCCUAUCCCCUCAAAUAUUCGGCAGAGAGCUUUGCACAGAGUCAAUGCUCAGUGAACAGGUUUUGACCAAUGAAAAAACGAAGAGCACAGAACUAAGAAAGAACAGUAAGUCGCACCUUUGCCUAACUUACUGAGAGUUAAGCGGGAGCCCAGAGAGACCCUGUCAUCGUUCCAUAAGUCACUGAGCCCGGAGCACAGAGCCUGGAGUCACUUUCUCCAGGUCCGAAGCUCAGCUGUGUGGUGCUAUUAUAACUUCGCGUUCCUGCUGAGACACAAUGUCAGGCUGAGAUGUAGCCAUGGCCUGUGACAGUUAAUUAAGUACAGGUGUCCUCAGAAGCCAUCUGGAAAGAAGGCGAUCUUGGGCCUGCUGUGUGCUCACUAAUCCCUGGGGCUGGGGAGGAGGGCCGUGUCAGUUUAAAUCAGUUUGGCUAGUGGGAGCUUUGUUUAGACACCUGCUCCUCUUCAGUAACCAAAGGUAACUGAUAGCUGUGUGCUUGUACGUGCCCAGACAGGCUUCCAGCCCCCAACAGCCAACUAAAAUUAUCCUUCUUGAGGGAUCUAUUUGAAUCUGACGUGUGCUCAUUUCUUUUCUUCAAAAUAUCAUGGAAAUAUCAAGAGACUGCUCACUGCUAUUUGGGGAUAGACAACAAUGUCUCUCUCGACAGGCCUCAGGCUUGGGGUGCUUCCAGAACCCCAUGGGGGCCAGACACCCAGGCAUCUUGGAGGAAGAGAGGAAAAGGCUGGAGGCUGCAGAUCUUUCUCCUCCAUUUAGAAUUUCUCAGGAAAGAGGUCGAUGUUUUUGCCGCAGACAUUGCUCUGGACCACAGACCCCGCCUUCCUCCCCUGGCAACCUUCAGCCCCUUCACCCCUAAAGUUCAGUCUAAAAUACUGCCUCUUCCCCUGAGACCGUCCCUGAUGUAUGCGGACCCCAUUUCUCUCUUUCCUCCGAUCUGUUCUUAUACUUCUCAUUGGUACCACCGAAUUUGCAUUUUUUGGCCUCUCUCUAUUUUAAAGAUGUUAGCUUAAGCUUCCCUGCCAGAAGGCAGGCCUCUUUAGGGGCUGGAAUAAUGCCUCUCUUUCGCCUCCUACCACAGUCUCACUUGACAAACACUUCUUGGAAGUCAUUGACAUCAAGUCAGAAGCUUCAGCUGCUACCACAGUCUCUUGACAACCCUGAUUCCUAAAAAUCCUUUAGAAACCCAAAAGCAAGCUGAAUUGCUGCUUAAAAACAGUUCCUUAAAGACCAAAAAUACUCCUACAAGGAAUCUUACACCAGUGACAGCUCAAAUCAUUUGUGGGCACUUCCUUACCCAGCAUGAGCUACAUUCAGAGACUCCUGAUGGACUUUAAGGAAGACAGAGCUUUUUGUUUUUAUUAUUUAUUUAUGUAUGUUGCUUUUUAGGACCGUACCAGCAGCAUAUGGAGAUUCCCAGAUUAGGGGUCAAAUCAGAGCUACAGCUGCAGGCCUACACCACAGCCAUAGCCACUUGGGAGCCCAGCAGCAUCUGUGACCUACAUCACAGCUCAUGGCAACGCCAGAUCCUUAACCCACUUGAGUGAGGCCAGGGAUCGACCCACAUCCUCACAGAUAGUAGUCGGAUUCAUUUCCUCUGGGCCACAAUGGGACCUCCAAGAAGGCAAAUUUUUAAUCUUCUGAGUCACAUGAUGGAGAGGAAAGUGGCCAUCAGAGAAGUCCUUCAAAAAGGGCAGGAUGAGCUCGGGCUACUGGGGACACAGUGAAACAGAAGAGGUUGGAAGCUGCCAUUCACCCCAUUUGAUGCUUAAAAUCAUUCUGAAAUUUCCAGGCCGUAUUUUUUUUUUGUUUUUUGUUUUUGUCUUUUUAGCUCCAUAUGCCACCCAUGGCAUAUGGAGCUUCCCAAGCUAGGGGUUGAAUCGGAGCUGUAGCCGCUGGCCUAUGUCAUAGCUGCUGGCCUAUGUCACAGCCACAGAAAUGCCAGAUCCGAGCCACAUCUGUGACCUACACCACAGCUCACAGUGACACUGGAUCCUUAACCCACUGAGCAAGGCCAGGGGUCGAACCCACACCCUCACGAUUCCUAGUCAGAUUUUGCGGGUUCGAUCCCUGACGGGCACUCCCAGGCCAUAUUUUUUUAAGUGCAGCAUUUCCAGCGCUCUCUCAUCAACCUUAGAAUAUGGUUCAAGCUUUGGAAAUUAAGAAAUCUGUUCCUGUUUCAUCUUGAGCAUCCUAUUAAAGUAUAAAGGUUUUUUAUUCUUCAUGUAAAAAGCAUGACUCUAUGGACUUCCUGGGAAUGUAUACAUUAUAUAUUGGCUACAGUAAGACACUGAAAACUUGAACUCCUAAAAUCAAGGGGUGUGGUUGUAGUGAAGGAAGAAGAGAUGUGUGGAAAAAUAGAAUUUUAUUGCUGGAAUAAACCUUCUGAAUGUGUGUGAGGGGAACUCUGGGAGAACAAAGAAAUUAGACUCAUUAGAUUUAUUUUAUCAGGGAAAAGAGAUGGUUAAAGAGCCGUUGACAGUUAUGAAGAAAACAUUUCUUGGAAUUCCCGUCAUGGCACAGUGGUUAACAAAUCUGUCUAGGAACCAUGAGGUUGCGGGUUCGAUCCCUGGCCUUGCUCAGUGGGUUAAGGAUCCAGUGUCACUGUGAGCUGUGGUGUAGGUGGCAGACGCGGCUCGGAUUCUGAGUUGCUGUGGCUCUGGCGUAGGCUGGUGGCUACAGCUCUGAUUCGACCCCUAGCCUGGGAACCUCCAUAUGCCGCGGGAGCGGCCCUAGAAAAGACAAAAAGACAAAAACAAACAAACCAAAACUCGAACAAAAUGCUCAUCUUCUUUCAGAACAGAUUAGGAGCAUUAAAUGGUAUUAGGCUGUGGUGAAAUACGGUAUUGAAACCGACAGCACUCAUGGCCUGAACCGGGCCAGAACACAGAUUGGGACUUGAACCCAUGUGCUGGGACUCGAACCCAGCCAAAACCCAGACUGGGACUUGAGCGCACUGUUUUAAAUUAGAAUUACUCACCCUGUGUCACCCUUUAUGCCUCUGUGCAGAAGGAAUUCAGUGAGAGACAAAGUGUUGGGCAAGAAACAAAUUUUUUAGGACACUUGUGAGAAAUACAGCGGGCAGACAAAGAAGCUCUGCUCUGAAGAUCCCGUGGGCCACAGUUGUAUCAUUGAAAGGGUGUGGGGGUCGGAAACGCCCGCCUCUUCCUUUCUGGGAGUCACAGCUCCUCCUUAAUAUCCUGGUAAGAUGCCUUCUUCAAACUCUUGCCCUUGAUCUGAAUCUGAAUGCAGGCCUCAUCCCAUCCCCCACCCAACGACCUGAGGCAAUUUUCGCCCCUCCACUAGUCAAGCAAGCCUGCCUUGUUCUGAUGUCUUUCUAGAACUUACGGUGGUCUCCCAACAUCUCCCAGGUUUCCCUCUAUCUGUGAUCCCCUCUUGGGACUUCUACCACCACCUGUGCCUACUCCAACCCUAUCAGCAUCAUAAUGUAACAGCACCAGUAAAACCAUCAAAGUUUUGCCUUAAGGAGUUCCCACUGUGGCCAGUGGAAACAAACCUGACUAGCAUCCAUGAGGAUUUGAGUUGGAUUCCUGGCCUCCCUCAAUGGGUUAAGGAUCCACAGUUGCCAUAAGCUGUGGUGUAAGCCGGCAGCUGCAGCUCCGAUUUGACUCCUGGGAACUUUCAUAUGCUGCAGGUGUGGCCCUAAAAAGACAAAAAAAGUUUUGCCUUUCAAUGCGCUGUAAACUGUGGAAAGGGAAGGAUAUAGUUAAUAACAUCACCAAAGGUUUCUCAAAGAAGGAUGCUGGGAGUUCCCCUUGUGGCGCAGCAGAAACGAAUCUGACUAGGAACCAUGAGGUUGAGGGUUUGAUCCCUGGCCUCGCUCAGUGGGUUAAGGAUCCGGCAUUGCCCUGAGCUGUGGUGUAGG